UAGCCCACCAGACUGGGAGGCAGCAUUCAGUUCUCCUAUGCCUUCUUUCUCCUGGUGUGGUCUUUCUUCUGAAACAAAGAAGACAUUGUCAAAUCAGACUUGCCCUCUUGGAAAUGUGGUCCAGAUUGCUCUACUCCCAAGCUCCAAAAAA
rfam:Myotis brandtii contig298508, whole genome shotgun sequence.